rnacentral:tRNA from 1 species
GGAAACGUGCCCGAAAAUUAGGGAUUACUUUGAUAGAGUAAACAAUAGGGGUUUAAACCCCCUCAUUUCCU